rnacentral:rRNA from 1 species
GACGUAGGGCGCGAGCGUUGUCCGGAUUUAUUGGGCGUAAAGAGCUCGUAGGCGGCUUGUCGCGUCGACUGUGAAAUCCCGCGGCUCAACUGCGGGUCUGCAGUCGAUACGGGCAGGCUAGAGUUCGGUAGGGGAGACUGGAAUUCCUGGUGUAGCGGUGAAAUGCGCAGAUAUCAGGAGGAACACCGAUGGCGAAGGCAGGUCUCUGGGCUGUAACUGACGCUGAGGAGCGAAAGCAUGGGGAGCGAACAGG